rnacentral:tRNA from 1 species
GCCAACGUAGCUCAGCCGGUAGAGCAGCGGUUUCGUAAACCGCAGGUCGUCGGUUCGAACCCGACCGUUGGCUCCA